GCAAUGGUGGUUCAGUGGUAGAAUUCUCACCUUCCACACAGGAGACACAGGUUCAAAUUCUGGCCAGUGCA
rnacentral:tRNA from 1 species